UAAACCUUGGUACUAAUAGCGUAGUAGAACCACUCCGAUCCAUCCCGAACUCGGUUGUGAAAUGCUACAGCGGCGAUGAUACUGAAGGAGGGAUCCUUUGGGAAAGUAGCACAGUGCCAAG
rnacentral:rRNA from 1 species